rnacentral:rRNA from 1 species
UAAUACGUAGGUGGCAAGCGUUGUCCGGAUUUAUUGGGUUUAAAGGGUGCGUAGGCGGCCCUGUAAGUCAGUGCUGAAAUAUCCCGGCUUAACCGGGAGGGUGGCAUUGAUACUGCGGGGCUAGAGUACAGAUGAGGUAGGCGGAAUUGACGGUGUAGCGGUGAAAUGCUUAGAUAUCGUCAAGAACACCUAUAGCGAAGGCAGCUUACUAGGCUGUAACUGACGCUGAGGCACGAAAGUGUGGGGAUCAAACAGGAUUAGAUACCCUGGUAGUCCACACUGUAAACGUUGAUUACUCGCUGUGUGCGAUAUACAGUACGCGGCCAAGCGAAAGCGCUAAGUAAUCCACCUGGGGAGUACGCCGGCAACGGUG